rnacentral:rRNA from 1 species
AUCCGCGGCCAUAGGAUCAGGAAAGCACCGCAUCCCGUCCGAUCUGCGAAGUUAAGCCUGAUACCGCCGAGUUAGUACUAAGGUAGGGGACUACUUGGGAAUCCUGGGUGCUGCGGUU